UGGGGAAUAUUGGACAAUGGGGGAAACCCUGAUCCAGCGACGCCGCGUGUGUGAAGAAGGCCUGCGGGUUGUAAAGCACUUUCGGUGGGAACGAAAUAUGCCGGGCUAAUACCCCGGUAGGCUGACGUUACUCAAUGAAGAAGCACCGGCUAACUCUGUGCCAGCAGCCGCGGUAAUACAGAGGGUGCGAGCGUUAAUCGGAAUUACUGGGCGUAAAGCGCACGUAGGUGGCGACGUAAGUCGGGUGUGAAAGCCCCGGGCUCAACCUGGGAACCGCAUCCGAAACUGCCAAACUUGAGGUCGGUAGAGGAGAGUGGAAUUCCCGGUGUAGAGGUGAAAUUCGUAGAGAUCGGGAGGAACACCAGUGGCGAAAGCGGCUCUCUGGGCCGAAUCUGACGCUAAGGUGUGAGAGCGUGGGGAGCAAACAGGAUUAGAUACCCGAGUAGUCCCUGAGCGGGCUGGCAAGGCGCAU
rnacentral:rRNA from 1 species